GUAUAUACAAAAGACCUACAAUAAUGAAUUAGCUCCUCAGAUGUCAGUGGAAUGGAAGUAAUACACAUCAUAUGUUUCAAUGAAAUUAACAUGAUUAAUGAUGGGAUAAGACGUAGAGGAGAUCCUAUAGCUACAGUACAUGUACAUGUAACUGCAAAUGUAUUCCAAGAGUUUAUGGCUGAUUAUACAGGAUUUUAUCAUUGAAGCAACAUCUUAGAAGGAUAAGUGCAAAUGUAUGAAGGAAGCCUUGUGUACAAAUACAUGUAGCAAUUACAUGCAGGAGAGAACACUUAAACAUUACUAACAUGUAGUCAUGAUAUUGGAGUGGUGCAUUCUAGAAAUCUAAACACCUGGAAUUAAAAAUUGUGUAUAC